UGAUUGGACCGCGGGGCCAACUGGUGUUGGGGGUGGAGCCUGAUCAUGGAGGUGUGGCCUGCAAAGGUCUAUCUUUCCCCUUGUCUCCGCCCUUCCCCAUUCCUGCGAGCCCUGUGGUGCGCACCUCUAUUCUUCCCAGUCCCUUCUUCUACGUGCUGACCAGACGAGGACUGACACUACUGCCCCCAGCAUCCACUUCAACUUCUCCUCCUUGAAGCUGCAGGAAUCAGGCCUGGAGUCCCCAGGGAGGAGGCGGGUGGUGUGGACACCGAGGGCUCCUUGAUUGGACAAUUGCUGGCAUGUGAUCACCUCUUGGCCCAAUGGUGUCACCAGGCAGAUUGACCAGAAUUAGACGCAGUCCCAGACCUGACUGGGGCGAUUCCUUCACCUUCUCCAGGGUACCCACCAUCUGGGAUCACUGUGAGCGGGAGGCCAGCCUGGGAUCAGGACAACCUGCACCUCAUAGUGAGACCUUGUCUCUAAACAAACAGAGAAAGAAACCAUUAAUAGGGCUUUGCCUGACUGUGCUUAAGAAAUGCUACACUUUGAAGAAAUAGUGAAGACCAAAAGGAAAUAACAGUACACACUAGAAAUGGGUCUUUUGUUUUUCAGUUGAACUCACUGUGUAGCUUCCACUGGCCUCAAACUUUUGAGGAUCCUCCUGCCUCUGCCUCCUGAGUGCUGAAGUUAUAGGUGUGCAUCCCUCUGCCCUACUUGGGCAAUUUACUCUAAAGAAUUUUCACACCACUCCCUCAAACUCAGCAGCUUUUGCAGUGCUGUCUAAGGCCCGAGAAAACUGCACUGCUCUUGCAAUAGCAUCUCAACCGUUUCCUUCAAUAAAUUACUGCUCAAUUUCUUUUAUUGAUGUGUUCAGCAGAAGCAACAGGAGCAGGAGGGGAAUUGAAGCAAUGCUUUCCCGAACUUGAAGCUUCAUGCCCUAAGCUAAUUUAGCUAAUCAUUGUUAGAUUUGAGACUUGGACCCGCUUAUGCAACGAUCUGAAAAUUUCCUGAUUCCGCUCCAGAAAAGCUUUGGCAGCUAUCAGUGUGCAAAUUUUCACGCAGCUUCCUGUGCCAUGAACGGUUUGGCAUUGUUUUAAUCUCACUGAUGGAGAAACUGCUUCUUACUAAGUCUCCUGCACUUUGGAGCUGUCUAUCUUCUGCUACAUCCGUCCAAUCUUUCAAGAGGCACAGAAUGCUCCUCUGGGGGAAAAAAAUAAAUCUACAAACACACAGAAAUCCUUCUUCAAAUAUUUUGACUGAAGUAUUCUGUAGAUCGAGAAUUUCUGGCACUCUUACACAACGUAUACUAAAAAGUCCUACUUCCCUCAUUUUGCACAAAUCUGCAUAUGACAAUAAACAUUGUCAAGAAAAUUUUGGUGCUAUCUUCAACGUCCUCUGUAUAACAACCCAUUUUUCCACUACCAUGACAAAUUACUGGAGGCUGGAGACUUUAUAAAGAAAAGAGUUUACAAAGAAAAGGCUGAGGACUGCAGCUCAGUGUUGCAGCACACAGCAUGAGGUCCUGGGUUAGAUUUUAAACACUGAAUAAAAGAGAUAGGAAGCCAGCCCAGCUGCAGGGGGCCAACUUGGUUUUUUUUUUUUAAAAUUUAUUUUUAUUUUUUAUUUUUUUUAUCAGUACUGGGGAUUGAACUCAUGACCUCGCGCUUGCAAGGCAGGUGCUUAUGCCCCUAAGCUAAAUCCCCAGCCAACUUGUUCAUUUUUUGAGGUCCUGGGAUUGGACUGUUGUGGUGCACUAAGCAGCAGCCCUGUCCUUUGCUCUGGGCUCUAGUCUGUCCUUGAGCUUUCAGCCUUCCUGCCUCAGCCUCCAGGAGCUGAGACCACAUGUGAGCCCUGCCACGUCCAGCUCAGGCUGAUUAUUGUUAUUAUUAUGUUUUAAAAUAAAUCUCUUGUGAGAACUGACUGGGGAGCUCUGAACCCCUCUCAGACCCUGUCUUGGAGCACGGGCACCCUGGGGACCAGCCAAUCAGUGUGAACCUUUGGGGGCUGCAUGAGCUGAACCAGAGCUUCUCUCUGCCACCCCAGGAAUCAAGGGGCAGUGGAGGAUCAGGCCCACACCUACAGAAGGAUGAGAGGUGUGGGGCUGGCCGCAACAUGUCAGGAAGGUGAACACUGUGUCACUGGAAGGUUCCAGUGCCCCCGGCUCCGCCCCACCACACCUAAUGACACUCUGGCAAGACUCCAGGGUUUUUCUUUCUCCUUUUGGUUUUUUUGAGUUUGAGCCUCACUAUCUGGUCCAGGCUGGCCUGGAACUCAUGGGGAUUCUUCCGCCUCAGCCUCCUCAGUGCUAGGAUUAUAGGUGUGCACUCCCAGGCCUGGCUGGACUGCAUAAUUUUUCUUGACAACUACCGGAUGUUGUGCUUGGGUUAAGACAAAACCAGCGUUAAUCUUACUGACACAGAAGCAUCCAGGCAUCUAUUUUUAUACUUUUGUACAGCAUACAUUAAAUGCAAUGUUAUUUUUAACAAUAUGCAUAUUUAUAUUUAAACAGAAAGCACAUAUACUGGGCGGUAGGAAAUGGCAGAAGAAAUUAGAUUUUCUACACUAGGUAAAUACAGUGUAUUACAUUAAUGCACACAUUUCCUCUAAAUGUUUUCUAGCUUUUUAAAAAAUAUUUGCUGCCUAACCUCUCCAUUAUUUUCUGUAAUUUGUAUUAGAAAAUACAUAUGUCCUUGUAAUUUUCUAAGUAUGCAUGAAUCAAAAUUUGGCAUCAUGGCACAUACUUGCAAUCCCAGCACUCUGGAGGCUGAGGCAGAGGACUCACCAUGAGUUUGGGACCAACCUGGGUUCCAUAGUGAGUCCAAGGCCAGCCUGAACGACAUGGUGGAACCCUGGCUGACAAAAUAAAAGUAAAUAAUUAAAUAAAAACUGCAAAGUACUCUGGUGCUAAGCUAGGACGCUGAGCAAGUUAGGGUAAGAAAUGCAUUUCCAGUUUAGCUUGGUGUGUCCCUGGGUAAGCAGAGGAGCCCGGACCCUGACACUUGGCUUCCCAGCCAUGUCCCCUGCCUGCUGUCUGUGUUCCUGCACCCCGCCUUGGAGUGUGUGGCCGCAUGUGGUCCGGUGGACCCCAGCUCAGCCCUGCUGUUCCUGAGUGGACCACAGAUCACAGCCCAGGUCCCCAGAGGGAUCCACAGAUGAGUGUCCCAGUGGCUGCUGCCCACUGCUCACCGUGCAACUCCUGUGCCCACCUGAAGCACGGUCCCAGCCAGGGACGCCCUUGGGAGCUGCAGGGACCUUCCAGGUGGCUGUGUCCGGCCCGCUGUCCGGGAGUCCCUCGGGCUGCAGGCCCUGAUGGUUUCCCAGGGCGGAGGGCGGGGAGGGGUGACAGAGGACCUCCAGAUGACAAGAGGGAGUUGUCCUAGCUCUAACCCGCCAAGUGUUCCAGGUGCCGAGCUCCUGCUGUCUUCGUUGGAGCAGCAAGUUCUAGGAACAGCAGAGGUAAGAAUAGGCAGUGUUCUGUCUCCAGCAUGUGUCACUGAGCAAAGCCAGGAGGCGAAGCGAGUGCUAGGUGGGACAGAGCUGCAGCCCACUGGUAGGAUUCCAGGACAGUCGCUCGGGUAACAUCGCUCCAGAAGGAAGUCACAGUGCCACAAGGGGCAAAGCCAUGGUGAUCCAGUAAGGUUACGGCAAGACCGGGGGCUCGGGUGACACUGACUAAAUGGGACACAGUCACGGAGCAGGCUCAGCUGGGCCUGACAAGGCCUUUCCUGGAAAGGGUGGGUCACGGAGGUUCGGCCCCCACCCCAAGGUGACUGUUGUCUGCUUAGAACACUGAUCCCAGCUCACUGCGGGGGAAGCGUGUGGGUGGGAACUUCCGAUUUGCUUGGAGCCGGGCCUGAGGUGGCUGGGCCUAGAGUCUUGGCUGUCCUUGCACUGACCCACCAGGGUCCCCACCUACAAGAUUUCCAGAUAACUUGGCUGCUGUCCCGGAGACUCCGAGGUUGGAGCAGCAGGCCCUGCCCUUAGUGAAGCCUCCAGGAGAGGGCCCACCUCCCCAGCUUCCUGAAGGGGACUGGGUGCCUGUGUCCACAUUCCCUUCUUCUCUGAGAAUACCAUCCCUGAGCUGCAUGGGUCUGUCAUGCCAGCACUCAGGAGGCUGAGGCGGGAGGAUCCCAAGUUUUUUGUCUCAAAGUAAAAAUAAAAGAAAAGAAAAGGUUGGAGCUGUAAGCCCGUGUGAAGGCCCUAAGUUCAAUCCUAGUGUGCUAAGAUAGGGCAUACAGGUGCACGCACAUGCAGACUCAGGGACAGGGCAGGGACACAGUGCCGGACACAGAGAACCUGGGGGGGGGGGUAAGACCCACCUGGCAUUUCUGGGAGGGGAGGCUUGGGCUCCUGAAAAUAAAGUGCGGGACCCUUCGGGAGGUCCGUGGCCCAACAGCUGUCAAACCAGGACCAGCCAGAGGUUGAAGGGCAAGAAACGCUCUGAGGGGAGCAGUGCAGGGCUGAGCUGGUCUUUUUAUUUUUUCUGAUGGCACCGAGACCGAUCCAGAGCCUUUGCACUGAGCUACUUCCCCAGGCCUUUUGAAAUUUUAUAUUUGGGGACUGGCCGGGCUGGAACCUGUGAUCCUCCUGCCUCAGCCUCCUGGAGAGCUAGUGAUAUAGGGGAAAUGCUAGAUGUCAGACACGCCACGUUCCUGAAGUCAAAGAGUGGAUUCUAAGGAACAGUGGAGGUUAAGAGUAGGAAAAUCUACUGGACAAGAGGGAUGAGAAUGGGAUGGGGUACAGGAACAGCUCCCGAGAGGCAGGCGGGGACCCGAAUGGGCUGUCGACCAGCACCUCCUGGAAGGAAAUCAUGAGGCAGCUACAGUGUGCAUCAGAAUUACGAUCGAUGAGGGUAUGUGGGUGACAUCCCUGGUCCCUGAGCUAGGUCUCGGUCUUGUCUUAGUCUACGUGGUCUUGGUCUUGGUCUUCUUGUUUUAGCCUUAGUGGGUGGGAGAGGAUGGCCCACCCCAAUGGGAUGAUGGGAAAUCUCCAAAGGCCAGCACCAAUGUCCCGAGCCUCCGUUCUUCCCCUGGGGAAGUGUGCAAAGCUGUGACUCCAGCCGCAGUCCCGGUGGACUCUCAUCUCCUGUGCUGACCCCCGAGGGCCCAGCCCCUCCGGCUGCCUGCUCUGUUCCCACCUCACUUUGCUGUCUGUGGAGCUGGGCUUGGGAACCAGGGAGAGUCACUUCCUGGUUGGGGUGCAGGCUGCUUUAGACUUGAGGGGCCUGGCACCCCAUGAUGGACUCAUCAGAGAUGUGUAGGAGCUGGGUCCGACCUCAGCUGCCAGAUGCUUGGGGACACUGUGGCUUCACAGGCCAGCCUUGCCCUUAGCAGCCCCUGGGACUGAGCUCUAGCACCUCCCAUUCCCAUGGGCCCCCACUUGCCGACCUGCAAAGCGGGUGACCAUGGCCUCUGUCUCCCCUUUUGUGGACAGCCCUGGCCCAGGCAGAGAACAGAUGCGUAUGCCCGCCUUGCCAGACCUCAAUGCUCAGCACCAAGUAGGAAGAAGGUGCUGAGGAUUGAACCUAGAGCCUUUGCACUGAGCUAUACCUUGAAGAUGAGAGCUCGCUGAGUUACUAAGUUACCCAGACCAGCCACAAACUUGUGAUCCUCAGCCGUCUCUGUACUGGGAUAAUUAAUGGGAGUGCAAUGCUUUGCCCAGAUGACUAGGGGUAUUUGUGUGUGUGUGUGUGUGUGUGUGUGUGUGUGUGUGUGUGUGCAUGUGUGUGACAGAGAAGAGAGAGAGAGAGAGAGAGAGAGAGAGAGAGAGAGACAGAGAGAGAGAGAGAGAGAGACAGAGAUAGACAGACAGAAAGACAGCGAGAUGGAGAGAGACAGAGAGACAGAGAAAGAGAGAGACUCUGUAGCCCAGGCUGGCCUUGAAUUCACAGCAAUCCUCCUGCCUCAGCCUCUGAGGGCUGGGCUGACAGUUGCACACUGCCACACCUGGUGGAAACAAAGUUCUUUGAGGGCUGUGGGUCACUAGCAGGGCCAGACACUGCCCCUCAGCAGCUGCUGUCUUUGAUGGGAGCAGGCCGACCCCAGCGCAGCCCUCUGUGCUCCGAGGCGUGCUGCUGACUGACUCAGGACUCAAGGUUGCUUCUUCUCAGGGCACACACCUCGGGGAAAUUUGCGAAAAUUCCACAGAAUCAUUUUGGUUUAUUUGAAUGGUUUUUGAGAAACCAGUGACUAAGAGAUGCACUGUGUCCCCGGAACCACUUCUGCUUCUGUGUGGCAGCCUGGGGAGCAGGUGCAAACUCUGAGGGCAGCAAAUCACCCUGGCCCUGACGUUGGGGGACCGUUGGUUUAAACAGUAAGUGUCAGCCCUGCGCUGACUGUGAACACCUGUCACCCCAGCACUCAGGAGGCUGAGGCAGGAGGGUCACCAUGAGUUUGAGGCCAGCCUGAACUACACAGUGAGACUCUGCCUCAGAAACAAAA